rnacentral:rRNA from 1 species
CCUACGGGGUGCAGCAGUGGGGAAUAUUGGACAAUGGGCGAAAGCCUGAUCCAGCCAUGCCGCGUGUGUGAAGAAGGCCUUCGGGUUGUAAAGCACUUUCAGUGGGGAAGAAAGCCUUGGGGCUAAUACCCUCGAGGAAGGACAUCACCCACAGAAGAAGCACCGGCUAACUCCGUGCCAGCAGCCGCGGUAAUACGGAGGGUGCGAGCGUUAAUCGGAAUUACUGGGCGUAAAGCGCGCGUAGGCGGUCUGAUAAGCCGGUUGUGAAAGCCCCGGGCUCAACCUGGGAACGGCAUCCGGAACUGUCAGGCUAGAGUGCAGGAGAGGAAGGUAAAAUUCCCGGUGUAGCGGUGAAAUGCGUAGAGAUCGGGAGGAAUACCAGUGGCGAAGGCGGCCUUCUGGACUGACACUGACGCUGAGGUGCGAAAGCGUGGGUAGCAAACAGGAUUAGAUACCCGUGUAGUC